GGGUUGUGAGGUUAAGCGACUAAGCGUACACGGUGGAUGCCCUGGCAGUCAGAGGCGAUGAAGGGCGUACUAAUCUGCGAUAAGCGCCGGUAAGGUGAUAUGAACCGUUAUAACCGGCGAUACCCGAAUGGGGAAACCCAGUGUGAUUCGUCACACUAUCAUUAACUGAAUCCAUAGGUUAAUGAGGCGAACCGGGGGAACUGAAACAUCUAAGUACCCCGAGGAAAAGAAAUCAACCGAGAUUCCCCCAGUAGCGGCGAGCGAACGGGGAGGAGCCCAGAGCCUGAAUCAGCAUGUGUGUUAGUGGAAGCGUCUGGAAAGGCGCGCGAUACAGGGUGACAGCCCCGUACACAAAAGCGCAUGUGCUGUGAGCUCGAUGAGUAGGGCGGGACACGUGGUAUCCUGUCUGAAUAUGGGGGGACCAUCCUCCAAGGCUAAAUACUCCUGACUGACCGAUAGUGAACCAGUACCGUGAGGGAAAGGCGAAAAGAACCCCGGCGAGGGGAGUGAAAAAGAACCUGAAACCGUGUACGUACAAGCAGUGGGAGCCCCACC
rnacentral:rRNA from 1 species